UUGUUUAUAUAUUCACCCACUGAAGGACAUCUUCAUUGCAUCCAAGUUUUAAAACCAUGAGUAAAACUGCUAUAUGCAUCUGCGUGUAGGUUUUUGUGUAGAUAUAAGAUUUCAACUCCUUUGGAUAAUUACUAAGAAGCAUGAUGACUGGAUGGUAUGGUAAGGAUAUUUUAGUUUUAUAAGAAACUGCCAAAUUAUUUUCUAAAGUGUUUGUGCCAUUUCGUAUUCUCACCAGUAGGGAGUGAGUGUUCCUGUUACUCCAUCUCCUCGCCAGCACUUGACACUGUCGGUGUUCUGGACUUUGGCCAUAUGGAGAGGCCCUGGCUGCCCACGUAAUGGAAAACCUUCUUCUUCUUCCAUCUCUGGCCGUUUCAUGAUAACUCAUCCUCCAGGUGAGACUUGGACUCUUCCCUGGACCCCAGUGUGCUUGUGCUGGUAGAAGCUGCAUUAUCCAGGAUUCAACCAUGACCUGACAGGCCUGAAAGGGUCCUGGCUCUUCUCACCACUUCUGAUUCGGAUGCAGCUCCGCACUACAGGACAUGGGACCUGGGUUCACUAGCAGCUGUCCUAGUGGAGGAGUGGAAGGAACAUUCUGACUGAGGAGGACAGGAGAUGUUCCCCAGAGGAUACAUUCAUCUCCCUUUGUUCCAUGAUGGACUCUUCGGAAGUGAGUGGUUUCAUGUGGGCUCUCUGGAAAAGCGCCACGUAACCAAGCACCUGGGUGUGUUUUCUCAUCACUCUGGGGCUAGAUAGGCAAGUAAUGAAUGCUUUAUAUUUGCUGAUUCUAUCUCCUUCCCCCCUUACUUUGGCUAUCCUGGGGUUAUAUUUUCCUAAAACCUUCUUGUGUGAGCUUUGCCACAAGCUUGUUUUCGAAGGAAACCAGAGUAAGAUGACUGGCAGCAAGAAUGAGUCUAGAAAGCAAAACUUCAGGACUGGAUUGAGAGUUGGAUUUCUUGUCUUUUUGAAAGCAAGAGGAGCUCCACAGCUGGUGGUGAGUGGAAGGUUGAUAACCUUGGCAGGCAAUGGCAAUGCCACGCUGAAUUAGCUUUCUAUUGCUGUGGUGACACACUAUCACAAUCAGAGUGACUUAAAGAAAGAACAUGUAUUAAUUUAUUCUAGCUAAGUUUGGUAGACUAGAAGUUGGGCAGAGGUCUCACUGGGUUAAAAUCAAGGUGUGAGUAGGGCUUUGCUCCAUCCCAGGAACUCUGCCUGGAGAAGGUAGCAUGUUUCCUAGCCUUCUCCAGUUUUUAAAGUCACCUGCAUUCCUUGGCAAGUGAAGCCUUCCCCUGUCUCAAAGGCCACAAAUGACAUCUGUCUAACCCUGCUUCUAUUGUUACAAGUCUCUCUAUUACAUAGCCACAAAAAUAUCUCUGUUUCUAAGUACUCAUGCAAUUAGUUUGGACCCAUCUGACAAUCCAGGACAAUCUCUUUAUAGCAAAAUACUUAACCUUAAUCACAACUCUAUUAGUCAAAAUACUUAACCUUAAUCAUAGCAAAAUACUUUACCUUAAUCACAACUUCAUUAGUCGACAUGUAGAUUCUGAGAUUUGGAGGUAGAUUUUGUUGAAGGAGACACUCUUCUGAUAAUUCAUUUCAAUUACUAAAGUUUUCUCUCAUGGCUUAUUGAAAAAUGUCAUUAGAAGGCAAGUCAUUGGUAAAUGUGUUACUGACACAUUUAGUUGUUUGGGAGAAAGAAAAUUUAUAAGGAUUAUGCCAUCAGGUGUCUUCUUUUGAAGGCAUUGGUAGUUUUAGAAAAAGAGAAUUCUUGACAUGGUUAAGCAAUGCUCUGUAAGUCUGACUGUUCUUAAGUCUGCUUUAAGGGACUAAAACAUCAUGAAUACUUUGCUGGAAAUCAGGCUCAGGAUUUUGUUGUAAGGGUGUCAGAAGUGAAAGACAUGUGUACCACCUCCACAGGUCUCCUAUGUUAGUGUGAGGACCUUGAUCAGAAAAGUUGGUGACUUCGAGACCUGGGAUGCUCUGUAUCCAUUCCACCAUCUACCACUCUCAUCAGAUGCCAGUCCAGUGGGGCCACCUGAUCUUGGACUAUGAAUCUCCAAAAAUUCCCUUGUUCCUGCUUCCUGGGAUCACUCCCCAACUCCCACCUCAACACGAAAUACCCAGAAUGGAGUCCUUGUUUCUACUGAACCGAGCUAAGGCAGGUCCUCAUUGGAAAACCAGGAAUCCUGAGAGGAGAUGCCGACUAAGGUUUGUGGAUCCUGCUCUCUGCAGGACAGAUGAGCUGGCCAUGGGCUCUGGGAGCUGCAGCUCUGUGCACUGUCAAGUUUAAAUGCAGCCAGCAAAACCAUUCCAUUCUGAGCAAUCAAUUAACCACCAGAGAAAUGUACCAGAGGGAGACUCCUGGCUGGAGGAGGGAUCAAGAGAUGCCAGAAGGAAGACCAUCAGUGACUUUCUGGUCAGCCAAAGAGAUGUCACAGAGAAGAAAGAGGGAAGAUAGAGCUGAGAAAAGAAGCUGGCAUCACACAGAGGAAAGGAAGUGCUGCCUCUCCCUUUCUUCCUGUCAAGAAGGCUAAGAGGUGUGAGCAGCAGAUUGCAAAACAGUCUAGGGAACCAAGGACACCGCCAACUUGCUCUCCAUGUUGGCACUGUUUCUUGAGUUUUGGAAGGCAGCAACUAAAGCCUGGGGACAUUGACCAAGGAGAGCCAUGGGUUCCUUCUGCCAUGUGCCUGCAGAGAAGAGUAUCCACUGACCAGAGUGGGCAGGUGGUGUGUUCUUGGUGGAUGGGAAGAAAUUUGGGAUGCACCUGUCAGUGGCAAUGACUGGCAAAACAUGAAUUGGGGGUAAUUUAGGCCAUAUGCUUUGAAUCAGAGCUUGUCUGAGCUUGAACUCCAGAGUGUACAGAACUCUAUUUGCAGAGAUGGUUCUUCCCCUUGCAAGGGAUUUGCCCCCACAUCCACCCACACCCCCGUAACAGUGGACACAAAGAACACUGCUUGGAGAUACGUGUGUGUGUGUUUAGCCGCCAGCAUUAUUGAUGAACCAAGAGUAAAGCUCUUUCUAACAACACCCUAAGUGCCAAAGAAGACUUUAAAAUAAGCCAAAGACAAUGGCUGCAGGGAGACUUCUGGAAUAUAGGGUUUCACAGAAGGAAGUCCGUCGGUCUCAGACUGAGGUGCUCAUUUCUGUACCAACAGGAAUCACAUCUUCCUCCCUUUACAGGUGCCCUCUCCGCUCGUCUCAUGGAUGGCAGCCAGUUUCUUCUACCAGCUUGUAAGGCUGAAAGAACUCAAAAUGCUGAAACCAAGUGAAACGGGCAUUACUGCUCUGGAAUUUCUGAAUCAGAAAAAAUCCAUUUAAUGGGAAUGAGAAAUCUUCAUUAUUCAUUUAUUUAAUAUCAAACAGGCAUAAAUUAACUGGAAAUUGAACUGGAAAAAUACAGCACACCCACAACCCCAAUACUUAUAAAUCAUAUAUGAUAAACAGGGAAAAACCCAUUCCCCACCACCUCCCUCUCCCUCCCUAUUCCCGCAUUCCAAUUGUUGUUACUAGUUUAGAGUGCAUGCUGGAAUUUUUAGUCUUUAAGAUAAGUCACAGUAAUGUAAAUUUAAAAUAUAUUAUAUUAAAAACUAAACAAAAAAAAAAGAAAGGGAGAAGGAAGGAAGGAGGAUGGAAGGGACAGAGGGAGAGGGAGGUAGGGAAGAAGGGAUAUCAUUAUAUUAUUAGAAUUGUAUCUACAAAGCACAUUGAAAAACUUAAAAACUAAUGAAAAAUUAAAAAAACUAUAAAAAUUAGUGGUAAGAAUGUCU